rnacentral:rRNA from 1 species
CCUACGUGAGGCAGCAGUGAGGAAUAUUGGUCAAUGGGCGCGAGCCUGAACCAGCCAAGUAGCGUGAAGGAUGACUGCCCUACGGGUUGUAAACUUCUUUUAUAAAGGAAUAAAGUGAGGCACGUGUGCCUUUUUGUAUGUACUUUAUGAAUAAGGAUCGGCUAACUCCGUGCCAGCAGCCGCGGUAAUAAGGAGGAUCCGAGCGUUAUCCGGAUUUAUUGGGUUUAAAGGGAGCGUAGAUGGGUUGUUAAGUCCGUUGUGAAAGUUUGCGGCUCAACCGUAAAAUUGCAAUUGAUACUGGCAGUCUUGAGUACAGUUGAGGUAGGCGGAAUUCGUGGUGUAGCGGUGAAAUGCUUAGAUAUCACGAAGAACUCCGAUUGCGAAGGCAGCUUACUAAACUGCCACUGACAUUGAUGCUCGAAAGUGUGGGUAUCAAACAGGAUUAGAUACCCCAGUAGUC